CGGUGAAUGCGCAGAUAUCAGGAGAACACCGAUGCGAAGGCAGUCUCUGGCAGUCAUGCGCUGAGAGCGAGAGCAUGGUAGCGAACAGAUUAGAUACCCUGUAGUCCAUGCUGUAAACGGUGGCGCUAGGUGUGGGACUUUCCAUGGUUUCCGUGUCGUAGUAACGCGUUAAGCGCCCCGCCUGGGGAGUACGGCCGCAAGGCUAAAACUCAAAGGAAUUGACGGGGGCCCGCACAAGCGGCGGAGCAUGUGGAUUAAUUCGAUGCAACGCGAAGAACCUUACCUGGGUUUGACAUGCACUAGAUGAGGCGAGAGAUCGUCUGUCCCUUUGUGGCUGGUGUGCAGGUGGUGCAUGGUUGUCGUCAGCUCGUGUCGUGAGAUGUUGGGUUAAGUCCCGCAACGAGCGUAACCCUUGUCUUAUGUUGCCAGCACGUUGUGGUGGGGACUCGUGAGAGACUGCCGGGGUGAACUCGGAGGAAGGUGGGGAUGACGUCAAAUCAUCAUGCCCCUUAUGUCCAGGGCUUCAAACAUGCUAMAAUGGCCGGUACAGUAGGUUGCGAGACCGUGAGGUGGAGBUAAKGGUUCCCCCCYSSCCGUAGUUCGGAUUGGGGUCUGCAACUCGACCCCAUGAAGUCGGAGUCGCUAGUAAUCGCAGAUCAGCAACGCUGCGGUGAAUACGUUCCCGGGRCUUGCACACACCGCCCGU
rnacentral:rRNA from 1 species